AACAAACCUGAGGACGCACUGACUUGUUCCGCCUCUUCAGAUGACAUUUCUGCGCUCUCUCUUUUACUUUUGCGCUCCGAGACUCUGACACACACGCCACCUAUCUUUACACGGUGGGAUAGAUGGAGAAACACUGAGGUCGUCUGAUGAACCACAUCAGGUGCUCGCGUCUACCGUUCUGCAACACAGGUGGGACUUUGGAAAGGUGAGGCGGUGGACAUUCUAUCCUGUAUGCGGAACAGAGCAAGAAUGGCAACAACUCGAGCAUCGACAGCAUGAUCUUAAGGAAGAGGAGCUGAAAGGAUGCAUGAGAGGCUGCCGGUGCUGCAGUGAUCUGACAGUGUGCAGCAGGACUGUGACCUCCUGACCCUCUCUGAAAGACAUCAGGACCGCACAGAUGGGAAGCACACCUUAGCCCCUGUAUGAUUCACUUUCGUUCUGAUUACUGCUUUAAUGUGGCGCAACAGCUCUUUUCCUGACCAGGUUCCUGUUUAGAGGCCUUCCUGUAAAUGUCAUGUGUUUCCAUGAAUAAAUCAGACAUUAUGACUACGCAAUUGCA